AGAGUUUGAUCCUGGCUCAGAACGAACGCUGGCGGCGUGGAUAAGACAUGCAAGUCGAACGAGAGAAUUGCUAGCUUGCUAAUAAUUCUCUAGUGGCGCACGGGUGAGUAACACGUGAGUAACCUGCCCCCGAGAGCGGGAUAGCCCUGGGAAACUGGGAUUAAUACCGCAUAGUAUCGAAAGAUUAAAGCAGCAAUGCGCUUGGGGAUGGGCUCGCGGCCUAUUGGUUAGUUGGUGAGGUAACGGCUCACCAAGGCGAUGACGGGUAGCCGGUCUGAGAGGAUGUCCGGCCACACUGGAACUGAGACACGGUCCAGACACCUACGGGUGGCAGCAGUCGAGAAUCAUUCACAAUGGGGGAAACCCUGAUGGUGCGACGCCGCGUGGGGGAAUGAAGGUCUUCGGAUUGUAAACCCCUGUCAUGUGGGAGCAAAUUAAAAAGAUAGUACCACAAGAGGAAGAGACGGCUACUCUGUGCCAGCAGCCGCGGUAAUACAGAGGUCUCAAGCGUUGUUCGGAAUCACUGGGCGUAAAGCGUGCGUAGGCUGUUUCGUAAGUCGUGUGUGAAAGGCGCGGGCUCAACCCGCGGACGGCACAUGAUACUGCGAGACUAGAGUAAUGGAGGGGGAACCGGAACUCUCGGUGUUGCAGUGAAAUGCGUAGAUAUCGAGAGGAACACUCGUGGCGAAGGCGGGUUCCUGGACAUUAACUGACGCUGAGGCACGAAGGCCAGGGGAGCGAAAGGGAUUAGAUACCCCUGUAGUCCUGGCAGUAAACGGUGCACGCUUGGUGUGCGGGGAAUCGACCCCCUGCGUGCCGGAGCUAACGCGUUAAGCGUGCCGCCUGGGGAGUACGGUCGCAAGAUUAAAACUCAAAGAAAUUGACGGGGACCCGCACAAGCGGUGGAGUAUGUGGCUUAGUUCGAUGCAACGCGAAGAACCUUACCUGGGCUUGACAUGUAAUGAACAACAUGUGAAAGCAUGCGACUCUUCGGAGGCGUUACACAGGUGCUGCAUGGCCGUCGUCAGCUCGUGUCGUGAGAUGUUUGGUUAAGUCCAGCAACGAGCGCAACCCCUGUUGCCAGUUACCAGCACGUGAAGGUGGGGACUCUGGCGAGACUGCCCAGAUCAACUGGGAGGAAGGUGGGGACGACGUCAGGUCAGUAUGGCCCUUAUGCCCAGGGCUGCACACGUACUACAAUGCCCAGUACAGAGGGGGCCGAAGCCGCGAGGCGGAGGAAAUCCUAAAAACUGGGCCCAGUUCGGACUGUAGGCUGCAACCCGCCUACACGAAGCCGGAAUCGCUAGUAAUGGCGCAUCAGCUACGGCGCCGUGAAUACGUUCCCGGGUCUUGCACUCACCGCCCGUCA
rnacentral:rRNA from 1 species